rnacentral:lncRNA from 1 species
GAUCAGUCUCUAGCCAACAGCACAUCUUCUGGGAACAAAUGAUUGUUGUCCUCAUUCAACAAAGUAAUAACAAGAAAAAUAGGACUGGAGACAGAAGGCAGCGAUGAGUAUGGAUCUGUGUCUUAGUGUCCGGCACUAGAGGAAGACAUUUAACUCCAGGGUGAAUUCCUGCAGGGGACCCGAUCCUGGGCACAGAGUUCCAAGGAACAUCAAACAAGAAAAAUACAACCAAGUUCUUCCACCAUGGAGAAGAUCCCCAUUAGAUCCAGCUGCAGAGCAGGGCUAUGGCUCAUCUCUCCAUGCCUUUGCUAUUGGAGUGUUCCCAGAGUGGUUCAGUGCAACACGUAACUCGGCACACUGUGAUGGAAACUUGGCUUGCUCUGUUCCCAGUGGCCAAUUCUGAAUUCUCCUUUUUGGAAAGAUGGUGAAACCUUCCUAACAAAAAGGAAAAAGAAGUCUUCUAAAUCCAGGCUGUGACUACUUUCCCUCAUCCAUGAAGUAGAGAUGCAUUUAUCACACAAUCUGAGGGUAAGAUGUUCUGUAUUAGACUUUCAAAAGAAGCAGAACUUAGUUGCAAAUAUUUUGCAAGGCUCUGUAGCCCUCUUCAGGGGCACAGCAGGCAGAAGUGGUUGAGAAAUCCAGGACUUCUAAGGUAGUAAAACCACAAAGCUCUGAUCUGACUAUGAAUGUUACAUUGCAUUUCAUUAUUGGUUCGGCACACAUUAUAACGGGUGAAAAUAGAAGGCUUCAUCUGUAUCUUGGAAUCUCUGCACUUAUACUACCAUGAAAGAUAUUUUAUAUUUAACUUUUAAGGUUGCCGCCUUGAAUAGAAGAAGAAAAUAACCUUUAUUUGAGCAGAUAUUACACUAAAUAUUGGCAUGUGCAUAAAUAGAGGCUGUAGUCAGAAAAUACUAUCCAUAAAGAUUUAGGGGCCAUUGCUCAAAGUGAAUAAAUUUAUCCCUUGUUCACGUGCA